UCAUUCUAGAUACACUUUCCAGUACAUCUACUAUGUUACGACUUAUCUUACCUUAAAAAUAAGAGCGACGGGCGAUGUGUACAUAUUUUAGAGCUAUAAUCAAAUUAUUAAUCUUUAUAAUUUUACAACCAAAUCCACUUUCAAAAAUUUUUUCAUAAUUUUAUUCAUUUAAAUAAAUUUAUUGUAACCCAUUAUUACUUAAAUAUAAGCUACACCUUGAUCUGAUAUAAAUUUUUAUAAAAAUUAUUGAAUAUUAUUAUUCUUAUAAAAUAUUCUGAUAACGACGGUAUAUAAACUGAUUACAAAUUCAAGUAAGGUCCAUCGUGGAUUAUCGAUUACAAAACAGGUUCCUCUGGAUAGACUAAAAUACCGCCAAAUUUUUUAAGUUUCAAGAACAUAACUAUUACUACUUAAAUAUU
rnacentral:rRNA from 1 species